AGCAGCCGCGGUAAUUCCAGCUCCAAUAGCGUAUAUUAAAGUUGUUGCAGUUAAAAAGCUCGUAGUUGAAUUUCGGGAUCAAAUUGUCGGUCGUGCCUCGGUACGAACUGGUAUUAUUGGUUCCUCCCUUCUGAAGAACCGCGAUGUCAUUAAUUUGGUGUCGUGGGGAAUCAGGACUGUUACUUUGAAAAAUUAGAGUGUUUAAAGCAGGCUUACGCUUGAAUACAUUAGCAUGGAAUAAUGAAAUAGGACGUUUGAUUCUAUUUUGUUGGUUUCUAGGAUCGACGUAAUGAUUAAUAGGGAUAGUUGGGGCAUUAGUAUUCAAUUGUCAGAGGUGAAAUUCUUGGAUUUAUUGAAGACUAACUACU
rnacentral:rRNA from 1 species